UCCACUUUCACUUUUCUGUUGUUGAGGAGCAGGGGCUCUAGGGCCCUUGGGUUUCAGUAGCUGCUUCAUGCAGGCUCCGUAGUUGGGGCCUCCAGGCUUUGGAGCACAGGCUCAAAAGCUGUGGCGCACAGCCUUUAGCUCCUCGGAGGCAUGUGGCUCUUUCCAGGUUGGGGCUUGAACCCGUGUCUCUGGCCCUGGCAGGCAGAUUCUUUACCGCUUAGCCACCAGGGAAGCCCCACCUGUUUGAUUCUUAAACCGUCUCAUCUCACAUUUUCUCUUAAAGAUACAGGUCACACUCAUCUCUUCUAUAACAUAGACGUGGCUACUUAGAAAAAUGUGGUUUUUGUUUCUUAAUUUUAAAAUCCAGAGGCUGGCCCCUCAGCCAUACCAAGGCUCUGGCCACGCCCUGGCCUUACUGGAUCCUGGUAUUCUGAAGUGGGGGUAGGGGGGAGUCUUUUUGCUCCAGCAGGUCUCCUGACUUUUGUUUCAGAGCCCAUAGAAACUCCUUGGUUGAACUUCACCCACCGGCUCUAGGACAUCCACAUGGUACGCUGAACAGCAGGAAACUCCCGCAGAAGGGGAGGGCAGGGCUGAUGCCUCUGGGAGGCUGGCCCAGGCUCACAGCCCAUUCCUGCUGUGACCCCUGCGAUCUGAUUGAUGGAAGUUGUUCAACUGACCUAACAGUGCACCCUUUUUAAGGGGAAUGCACUGACAGCUGUUGGUAAAGAAAUCCGCCAGCAAUGCAGGAGACCCCAGUUUGAUUCCUGGGUUGGGAAGAUCCCCUUGAGAAGGAAAGGCUACCCACUCCAGUAUUCUGGCCUGGAGAAUUCCAUGGGCUGUGUAGUCCACGGGGUCGUAAAGAGUCGAACACGCCUGAGCAACUUUUUUUACUUUGACGGACUGUAUUGGUGAAGGACAGGGAUGAAGCCCAAGGCGCUGGCUGUUCUAGCAACAGCAGGUCUGCUUUAGGAGAAGCUGUCACCCCUCCUUCCCUGCUCCCGGCUCAGGCCGCAGCCGCCUUCUGGUGGUGCUGUCACAGACACGCCUUCAGUCCGACUAUCCAAGCCAAGUGUCGAUGAGCCUGUCUGCAGCGUGAGGCUCAGGGCGAGUCCACCCUGGCUGGGCCCUUGUGGCGGGCGCUGAUUCUUAACCUGGCUAGAGCGAUGGCCGCCCUGGGAAAUCUGGCAGGGCCAGACACCCUUCCGCAGACACUUCGAGCUCCACACAUGUGGUCUGGAGGCCAAUGCCGGGGGGCGAAGGAGCACGAGGCCUGCAAGUGACCGCAGGGCAAGGCGCACGUGGACGUGUGCUUCACUUAGGAGAUGGGUGCGCUAACUCCGGGCAGUCACAGAUGCCAUCUGGAACUUGGCAAAAGCCACAGCACCCUUCCUCAGAAAAUGGGACGGUACACACAACCCACAACAUCACAUAAAAGGCACUGGUCCAGGCAAAGCUGGGUGUGCUCUUUGGGGCCUGGGCCACCCUUCCUCCCCGGGACAGCGCUCAAGGGCAAGGCCCAGGAGGCCACAUGCUCUUGGGCCUCAUUUGUCAGAUAUCACUGGCCCGGCUCUGUUGUCCAGGGUCACCCCGACCUCAUCCAAUGUCCCCUCGGGAUGGACUCCAGCUUCGUCACCCCCAGGCGACAUCUCUGCUCUCUAGCGCCCUGCUCCUGCCUGGACGACAUGGCCCAACCCCAAGCCCAAGAAAUAACACCACGCACUGCCAUCUUCCUAAAGGUCGUUUUAUUGUAAAACCAUAAAUACAACACUGACAUGAAAUCAUUUAUUUAAGCAACUGAUUCUCUCUAACCAUUAAAAGGAUGUCUUUUGCCUUGGCAUCAACCAACCGGGAAAUAAUGUUGCAAGAAUCCGGGGGAGGAGGGUAGGGGGUGUUGAAUUCUGGACUGGGGCUUUUGGCGAUUUAAGGAACCAAGUGGACCCUUCCUCUUCACCCUGGGAAUGUCCCACUUUUGGACAAGAACAGACAGGUAAAAACAGCAAACAUUUAAACAGCUCAGUUUUAAAUUUUAUUACUCUGUAAAAAUCUCUUUUUUUUUUUUUUUCUGUUCCUUUCCUCCAUUUGACAUCAGUAAAAGUUUUAAACACCACAAAACUGAUUUGGCUAUAAAUGGAGAAACGGUACCCAAACCAAAACGAAACCGAAAACCCAAAGGACAAACAGAAAACCCUAAAUAAACCCUCAAGUUUGGUCUCGGGGGUUUACAAAUCACAAGAACCAUCAACUCAACCCCCAUGCAAAGUGACUCCUUGCAGAGCUGCUGGAUCCACAACGACACAGAGACCGCAAACAACGUCUUUUGUUAAUUAACACAGCAAGGGUGAUACUAGGUAACUUUUUUUUUUUUUUAAAUACAGUACAUGGUACACAGGGUCCCAAGAAAACCCUGAACAAACCCCUUGUGGAGACUUGAGCCAAGCACUGGCUGUUUAUAAAAAUAUUGUGUUGCUACAAAAGUAUAAAUUAAUGCUACCGGUAUUAAGAAAUAUUAAACACAUAAAACUUAUAAGGAUUAAGAAAAAUAUUCAUUAAUACCUGUAGAAAACUCUGGCCUAAAAAA